UGGCGGCNGGGCUAACNCAUGCAAGUCGAACGAUGUAGCNAUACNUAGUGGCGCACGGGUGAGUAACGCGUGGGAAUGUACUGUUUAGUGGGGGAUAACUUCGGGAAACUGAAGCUAAUACCGCAUACGCCCGAGAGGGGAAAGAUUUAUCGCUAAACAAUCAGCCCGCGUGAGAUUAGGUAGUUGGUGGGGUAAUGGCCUACCAAGCCUACGAUCUCUAGCUGGUCUGAGAGGAUGAUCAGCCACACUGGAACUGAGACACGGUCCAGACUCCUACGGGAGGCAGCAGUGGGGAAUAUUGGGCAAUGGACGAAAGUCUGACCCAGCCAUGCCGCGUGAGUGAUGAAGGCUUUAGGGUUGUAAAGCUU
rnacentral:rRNA from 1 species